UACAGAGGUCCCAAGCGUUGUUCGGAUUCACUGGGCGUAAAGGGUGCGUAGGUGGCCAGGUAAGUUCGAUGUGAAAUCUCCGGGCUUAACCCGGAAAGUGCAUUGAAUACUAUCUGGCUAGAGGGUUGGAGGGGGACUGGAAUUCUCGGUGUAGCAGUGAAAUGCGUAGAUAUCGAGAGGAACACCAGUGGCGAAGGCGAGUCCCUGGACAACUCCUGACACUGAGGCACGAAAGCUAGGGGAGCAAACAGG
rnacentral:rRNA from 1 species